rnacentral:rRNA from 1 species
GACGAACGCUGACGGCGUGCUUAACACAUGCACGUCGAAGGGAGUGGCGAACGGGUGAGUAACACGUGAGUAACCUGCCCUUUUCUUUGGGAUAAGCCUGGGAAAAUGGGUAUAAUAAUGGCUGGAUUGGGAUGGGCUCGAGGCUUAUCAGCUUGUUGGUGGGGUGAUGGCUUACAAAGGCUUUGACGGGUAGCCGGGCUGAGAGGGUGGUCGGUCACACUGUGACUGAGAUACGGCCCGGACUCCUACGGGAGGCAGCAGUGGUGGAUAUUGCACAAUGGACGAAAGUCGGAUGCAGCGACGUCGUGUGGGGGAUGAAGGCCUUCGGGUUGUAAACUCCUUUCGCCCGCGGAAUGGUAGUGGGUAAAGAAGCGCCGGCUAACUACGUGCCAGCAGCCGCGGUAAUUC